CAACUAACGGCUAGAAGAAAGGAAGCACAAUACACAUGAGCCUUAAUCCAGGCUUUCACGGUGAUUGCAUGGAUUGCUGACAUCACCCCUUGCCUGCCUCCACCUCAUCAUUCAUGAUAAAAGAGGGAUGCUCUUCAUAAAAUGCAGAUUAGACAAGGUUACGUCCUUGUCCAAUGUCUCGGUGGCUUGCUGUGGAUGGCAGAAGCUUGGCAUUCUUUGCAUUUCAUGCCAGUCUCUCCCAGCCUGGCUAUGAUGUCCCUCUCUAGACACAUCUCCACGGAGCCCCAUGGUUAUGCCACACUGCAGCUAGUGUCUCCAAGUGCUGGUCUGAGGAGAUUUUUCUCAAGAUAUUGGAAAGUCUGGCUAAAUGAAUGUGGAUUUAAAUCAAACUCCACACACACUGAGAACGUCUGAGAAGGAGCCAAGUGGGUAAAGUUUGAGGACCAAGCUAACACUUCAGUGAAUUCAACUGGGAAAACACACGGAAGGCAUUUGGAACACAACUUCUAGAAUAUAUCCAGCUGUCUUUUGCCCCUUCCCUUCUGCCUGAGAUGCCAAUCGCUUGUGAGUUACAAAAAUAACUGUUCUACAUGUACAGGGGAUACAGAAAAAAAACCUGUUAUAUGCUUGGCAUAUAGUAGGAAUAGAGGCUCUGGUGAGCCAAACAUAUAAACACAUGAUCACAGUGUGUCAAAAUGAAGGGUGUCUUGGCAGCAUAGGGCGGAGGGCUGAGUUAUGUGGCCAGGGGACAGUAACUCUGCCUUCUUCACUUGACCUACCACUAAAGUGUGCCCCAGUUUAACCUCCUGUAUUUUGAGCUUAUUUCUUCUGUGCAAAUACACAUGUCGUAUCUUCUUGAUAUAUUAGCGCCUAGCAAAUGCUCUCCAAUUUGUUUCUAAUGAGAUGUCUCAAAGUCCACCUUGGGGGAUAGAGAGAUGUUUUAGUGGGUAAGACUGCUAGAUGCACAAACGUAAGGACCGGAGUUGAAUCCCUGGCUCCCGUAUAAAAGCUGAACAUGGCUGCAUGUGCCUGUAACAUUUUAUGUUAUAUAUGGUUUGCUAUAGUUUUAAACGUUGAAAAGAACAUCUAGGAUGAAGAAAAUAGAGGAUGUUUUUUCUUCUUUGACUGUUUAAGGAUUCACCUUUAUCAUGAAUGUUUCAGUAAUUAUCUAGACCAGAGACUUGAUGAUGACUUCGGAGGAAACAAGUAGUUUGACCUGGCCCACCACAGUCCAUAGGCCAGUACUCUGGAAAAAACUAACCAAAAUGCCACAUGUCAUCUCUGUAUUUGGAUUCAGAACCCACGUUGAUGGUGGCAAGAUGAUCGGCUUUGGCAUGGUUUAGGGUUCCUUGAAUUAUGCCAAGAAAAAUAAGCCCAAACACAGACUUGCAAGACACAGCUCUAUAAAAAGAAAAAAGAGUUUAGAAAACAGUGUUAAAGAGGCAAGAACAGGAUAAAGAAAAGCGGGGUCGGUAGUUGGUAGGAGAGCAGGGUGUCUGCAAAGACGGAGGGUGGUGCUGGCAGAAGCGACCCGAGACUGGUCUUGGCAGAAGGAGUGAAGAGUCUGCAGUGACUUGAUCUGUGGUGACAUGCACAUUUCUAAGCAGAGGACUAAUAACCUGCACAAUUUUAACAAAAAAGUGAUUUUUAAACAGCACAUCCCAGGGCAAUGCUGAACAUGGCUUGGUGUUGUGGUGGUUUGAAAGAAAAUG
ensembl:lncRNA